rnacentral:lncRNA from 1 species
GUGGUUGUUUUGGCAAGGCUUGAGUCGAUGAGGGUAGGUCAUCCAUGGCCCAUGGUUGAGGAUAGCUUCGAAAAUGGAGGGAAGCAACAAUGUUAAUUAGGGAUUUGAGGUGGAUGUAGGACAAAAUGUGGAAGAGGAUGAAGGUGUUGAGUCGGAGUCGCCAACAAGAGGUUCAAAAAAAAAGUUACGAUGGAGAUAGAUGGUGGGGAUGUAUCCUAUACGUUGGCAUCAGGAUCUGCUAGCUAGAUCUUUGGUGGCC